rnacentral:rRNA from 1 species
AUUGAACGCUGGCGGCAUGCCUCACACAUGCAAGUCGAACGGCAGCAUGGAAGAGCUUGCUCUUCUGAUGGCGAGUGGCGAACGGGUGAGUAAAGCAUCGGAACGUACCGUGUAGUGGGGGAUAACGUAGCGAAAGUUACGCUAAUACCGCAUACGCACUGAGGUGGAAAGCAGGGGAUCGCAAGACCUUGCGCUAUACGAGCGGCCGAUGUCAGAUUAGCUAGUUGGUAGGGUAAAGGCCUACCAAGGCGACGAUCUGUAGCGGGUCUGAGAGGAUGAUCCGCAACACUGGGACUGAGACACGGCCCAGACUCCUACGGGAGGCAGCAGUGGGGAAUUUUGGACAAUGGGGGAAACCCUGAUCCAGCCAUGCCGCGUGAGUGAAGAAGGCCUUCGGGUUGUAAAGCUCUUUCGGCUGGGAAGAAAUCGCACAGGCUAAUACUCUGUGUGGAUGACGGUACCAGCACAAGAAGCACCGGCUAACUACGUGCCAGCCGCCGCAGUAA